rnacentral:rRNA from 1 species
UCUAGGCCCCGUCAGGAGCCCGAGUUGUAAUUUGGAGAGGACACUUCGGGAGUGAAGCGGCAAAGCUCAAAUUUGAAAUCUGGCCCCGUCAGGAGCCCGAGUUGUAAUUUGGAGAGGACACUUCGGGUGUGGCCGCGGCGUACGUCCCUUGGAACAGGGCGUCAUAGAGGGUGAGAAUCCCGUCUUGCGCCGCCGGACCACGCCCAUGCGAAGUUCCUUCGACGAGUCGAGUUGUUUGGGAAUGCAGCUCUAAGUGGGUGGUAAAUUUCAUCUAAAGCUAACUAUUGACCAGAGACCGAUAGCGAACAUGUAGAGUGAUCGAAAGGUUAAAAGCACCUUGGAAAGGGAGUUAAAUAGCACGUGAAAUUGUUGAAAGGGAAGCGCUUGCAACCAGACUCGGUCGCGGGGGCUCAGCGGGUAUGCUUGCCCGUGUACUCCACCGCGUUCGGGCCAGCAUCGGUUCCGGCGGUUGGUCAAAGGCCCCUGGAAUGUGUCGUCCUCCGGGACGUCUUAUACCCAGGGGCGCAUUGCUGCCAGCCGUUACCGAGGAACGCGCUUCCGCACGGAUGCUGGCAUAAUGGUUGUAAGCGGCCCGUCCUUGAAC